rnacentral:rRNA from 1 species
UACGUAGGGGGCGAGCGUUGUCCGGAUUUAUUGGGCGUAAAGAGCGUGUAGGCGGCCAGGUAGGUCUGCUGUGAAAACUCGAGGCUCAACCUCGAGACGUCGGCGGAAACCAUCUGGCUAGAGUCCGGAAGAGGAGAGUGGAAUUCCUGGUGUAGCGGUGAAAUGCGCAGAUAUCAGGAAGAACACCGGUGGCGAAGGCGGGUCUCUGGGCAGUAACUGACGCUGAGGAGCGAAAGCGUGGGGAGCGAACAGG